rnacentral:rRNA from 1 species
GGAUUUGUCAGUUGGUCGGGCUUUAAUGUCCGUAUUGACUUGAUGGAUUCUUACCUUGAAAAAAUGAGUGCUUAAAGCGAGCUAGUGCUUGAAUAGAUCAGCAUGGAAUAAUAAAAUAGGACGGCAUGGUUCUAUUUUGUUGGUUUCUAGGAUCACCGUA